ensembl:lncRNA
UUAACCAGAGCGUCAAAGGUGGAAAUAAUGUUGUUGUGUUUCAGGCUAAAGAGGCCAUCUUGGAAAUGGAUUCCAUAUGUAAGUUGAUGUUAAAUGUUCCAAAGUGUACAAAUGUUUGCUCGAAUAAUGAAGUAGUAUUGGCAUGGUGAUAGUUGUUAGUCCGUCGUCAUGGUGAUAGUUGUUAGUCCGUCGUCAUGGUGAUAGUUGUUAGUAUGUCGUCAUGGUGAUAGUUGUUAGUAUGUCGUCAUGGUGAUAGUUGUUAGUAUGUCGUCAUGGUGAUAGUUGUUAGUCCGUCGUCAUGGUGAUAGUUGUUUGUAUGUCGUCAUGGUGAUAGUUGUUAGUCCGUCGUCAUGGUGAUAGUUGUUAGUAUGUCGUCAUGGUGAUAGUUGUUAGUCCGUCGUCAUGGUGAUAGUUGUUAGUAUGUCGUCAUGGUGAUAGUUGUUAGUCCGUCGUCAUGGUGAUAGUUGUUAGUCCGUCGUCAUGGUGAUAGUUGUUAGUAUGUCGUCAUGGUGAUAGUUGUUAGUAUGUCGUUAUGGUGAUAGUUGUUAGUCCGUCGUCAUGGUGAUAGUUGUUAGUAUGUCGUCAUGGUGAUAGUUGUUAGUCCGUCGUCAUGGGGAUAGGUGUUAGUCCGUCGUCAUGGUGUUCGUCUGACAUGUGUAUCACUGAACGUUGUGGUCCUCGCCUGUAGAUCCUCCCAGGUAUCGGUACAGUCCUGAGCGACUGAAGAAAGCUUUGUCCUGUCAGUCUGACGAGUUUCAACCAGACAGUCGCCAGGGACAACGACAGUCCGAGCCAAUCAGAGAAACACUGAAAAACAGCGAAGUCAUCGUCAAGGUAAGAAACAAGAAUCGCCUCCUCUUUCUCUUCCUUCUCUUCCUCUACAUCAGAUUAGUUAUCACAAAAGCAGUACACAGUAUUGGGGGGGCUGUGUGUGUGUUGG